UAAUUAUGGUUAGGUGAGACUAUGGUUUAUGUGCUUUGAUAAAAUGAUUGUUGAGCAUACUAAAAGAUGGAGGAUUAUAUCACACACUCCAAUUACCAUCAUGGGGUUAGUUGGAUGGUCAGGUCCAUGGUUUGCUCCCAUGUGGUCUGAGUAGUGUUUCCUGCCUCCCAAAGAUUGUAGGGUUCGACCAGGGCCACAGUUUCAAAGCUGUGUCCGCAAAGCAGGUUGGUGGAUUUCUGGGUACCAAAGAAAGAAAAAAAAAAAAAAAAAAUUUAAAACGCCAACUGACUGAAUAUGAAGGAAAUAUUCCAAUUUUGUUCACGACAAUUAUGACUACUCUAGCAUUACCCAAUUGUAUAAGAACACAAUCAAAUAAAGAUAUUGUCAUGAUCCCAAAUAAUUCAAAGCAUUGAAUUAAUUUUGUUGUUCAAUCUUUUGCUACAUUUGGUAUCAAAGCAGCUUGCAUGGCGAAACUGAUGCCAAGACAGGGCCCCUAAACUUAUUAACUAGAACUGGUGCAGUGUAGCGAUCACAAAUAUUGGAAAGGGCUACCUACUGUCAGAGUACAUGGUUUAAAUGAUGAAAAGGUCUACCUUGAAGAAGGCUAACUGGAGAGGACUGUAGAGAGUACUCCGUUAAAGACUACCUGCCACCAAAGUGAAAGCCAUCUAGACUGAAACUGUUCCUGGAGUAGAGUGAGAGUCGCAGUGGCGUGACGAAAAGGAUACUUUUCGCCAGAGAAGCUACAUAGAUUGGAGCUACCUAGGAUGUUGUUUGAAGUCUUGCAGAAGAUUGAUCAUCAGUACUUAGUUGAUCUAAAAUAGUGAUGCAGGGCAGCGGCUUAUAGCCGCUGUCCAAGGAUCCAAA
rnacentral:lncRNA from 1 species